rnacentral:rRNA from 1 species
GACGAACGCUGGCGGCGCGCCUAACACAUGCAAGUCGAACGGAGCGUACUGUGUGAAGCCUUUCGGGGUGGAACUUUGUAUUGCUUAGUGGCGAACGGGUGAGUAACACGUGAGCAACCUGCCUUGAAGUGGGGGACAACGUUUGGAAACAGACGCUAAUACCGCAUAAGACCACGUCCUCGCAUGGGGAUGCGGCCAAAGGAGCAAUCCGCUUUAAGAGGGGCUCGCGCCCGAUUAGCUAGAUGGUGAGGUAAUGGCUCACCAUGGCAACGAUCGGUAGCCGGACUGAGAGGUUGAACGGCCACAUUGGGACUGAGACACGGCCCAGACUCCUACGGGAGGCAGCAGUGGGGGAUAUUGCACAAUGGGCGAAAGCCUGAUGCAGCGACGCCGCGUGAGGGAAGAAGGUUUUCGGAUUGUAAACCUCUGUCUUCGGGGACGAAACAAAUGACGGUACCCGAGGAGGAAGCCACGGCUAACUACGUGCCAGCCGCCGCAGUAAAAC